UACAGAGGUCUCAAGCGUUGUUCGGAUUCAUUGGGCGUAAAGGGUGCGUAGGCGGCGCGGUAAGUCGGGUGUGAAAUCUCGGAGCUUAACUCCGAAACUGCAUUCGAUACUGAAGAUCUUGAAUCCAGGAGAGGUGAGUGGAAUUCCGAGUGUAGAGGUGAAAUUCGUAGAUAUUCGGAAGAACACCAGUGGCGAAGGCGGCUCACUGGACUGGUAUUGACGCUGAGGUGCGAAAGCGUGGGGAGCAACAGG
rnacentral:rRNA from 1 species